AUAUAAUUUGAUUGAAAUGCGUAUAAUUUCGGGGAUAUGGCCCAGAGUUUCUACCAGACUGCCGUAAACUAGUCUGACUACGCGGAAGAUCGU
rnacentral:ncRNA from 1 species